GUGAUUUCAAAAUGGUUCCUAUACAGUUUUUACUUAAAUUCAAAUUGCUUUCAGUAAAGGGCCGGUUAUCUGCUUUAAAAUUUAUUAGCUUUUAAAAACUGUUAUCAUUAUCUAGCAUUGCUUCAAUUCGGGUCCAGGUAAUCUGUCAGUCCAUGAAGGUAUCGUCAGCGCUUAUAACUCAGUCCUUCAGUUAUGACAGGGUUUUAAACAUACCAUUUCUUAAUUUAUGUGUUGAUUUAUUUAGAAUGUUUAGAUGGAUAUCAAUAAAAAAAAAAUUCAGAUGGAUAUCAAUAAAAAAAAAGACUAUGCAGAUGGCUCUCAUAUAAAACUGAAUUACUGACAACUAAGGGGAUGAUAUCACCAGGAACUAAACAAUUUUGACUGAGGUGAUUGGAACAUUAAUCAUUCUUCAUUUAGCAACAUUUAUCACUGUAAGGCUUUCUGUUCAGCGUCAGACAGUGUUGCACAGUUCAAACACGAAGAAUUAAGUUUCGUUUUUAACAUAUCCCAGAUAGCAUUACUGGCAUCUCUCUGAACAUGG
rnacentral:lncRNA from 1 species